GCUCAAUUUCCCUCAGGCCUGGGCUGCAAUCCAUGGCUGCCCCAGAGCACCCCGCUUCGGCCUUGGACCCUUCCUGCUGCAGUCCCUUUUGGAUACCGACUCGGGUUAUCUCCUAAGGAAAGGGGAUUAGUGUUGGAGGGGAGGACUCGAAAGAAACAUCCUCCAUUGAUAAAAAUCAGCAAUUCAUUGGUUACACUGGCAUAGAAGUUACCAGAUGUACUGAGAGGCCUGGAAAGAUUUACAUGAACUGAUGCUGAGUGAAACAAGCAUAACCAGGAAUACAUGGUACAAAAUAACAGCAAGAAUAUGAGAUGAUCAACUAUGAAAGGUAUGGUUCUUCUCAGCAGUUUAGUGAUCCAAAACAAUGCC
rnacentral:lncRNA from 1 species